AGGAAAACUCCCAGCUGAUUGUAAGAGUGCUCUGUUGCCAUCACAAAAGACUCUCUUCUUUGGGAGAAAAGCUGAGUUUCCGGUGUGAGAUCAUCAGGUUCAAGAAAAGGAGAAAAAAAUGCUCUUAAAAAAUAACUGAAACAGACAGCAGAGCGGGAACUGGUGAUUGUCUGGCACACAGUCAGAUUGUCAGUCAUGGCAAGGCACGAGCAACACGGGCUUUGCAGCUGCAGGCUGAAAAAAAUCAGUGAGACUAAACAUCUGAAAGGCAAUUAACAUACAAGGUUCUCACCAUGCCUUCUGAUAGCUUUUUCGUCUCUCCUGGAUUGACAAGAUUUCAAGGUGGAAUGUGUUCCCAGAAAGGUUUUAAAGAAGUCUCCCCAUUUUGCACCAUCUCAGCUGCUUACAAGCUUCCAGAUAGUCAUAUAGAGGAUCUGAAACCUCUUACCAGAACACAACAAGCAAAAAUACCCAAAUCAUGUAUGUUUGCAAUGAUAGACAAUCACUCUCAUUCUUCAGACUAUGAAAAUGAAAGAGAUAAUUCUGCUGGUGCCAGACUACAGCUACAGAGGGACAGAUGGAUUAGCAGAGUACACGCAUAAAAUAUAAAGGCAGCAUGAGAGCCCACCAUGCAUUACUGAAUCAUAAAUGUAUGACUUUUGCUUUUAUUGUUGGAUUAGAGCAAAGGUUUAAACUCUUAGGUCAUCUUAUUGCAGAUUAGUAAGAGUCAGCAAUACCUUCCUUUAGAAUUAUUUGGAAAAUACUAUUAUUCUUGUGUAUGAAGGCAGAGGGCUUUUGUUUUCUUAUGUUUUGUUUUGUUUGUUUUUAACAGAACACAAAAUAUUCAUUCUCAUCACACAACAAAAUAACACUACAAGAAAUUUAUUUUUAAAAAACAUACUCAGAUUUGACUGAAGUUUUCAUUUAUUAGAAGAUUAUUCCUCUUCAGUGACGGAUCUUGAAUAGAAUCUGCAUGCACAUAAUGUUUUAAAUCUGCAAUAGAUGUAUUUCGCACAUGAAGUGCAAAUGUUCUUUGUACCCUGUGAGUUUUACUUUAAGUUGAACAGGUGUGUUCACUUUUCUGUAGCAAGCACAAAUGGUUGCACUUUCUAGUUCUGAGCUGUGGUGGUCACCGCAGAUAUAACUGUAAGAAUUUGUAACAUACUAUUCAUGACUGGAAGGUCAUAGCUGUGCAGAACUGCUCUGUUUAAAUAGACAUAUUGAAAGUUCUUUAUGAAUUAAUUCAGUGAGGAUUGAACAGGGAUAACAAAAUUGCUGAGAGCUCUGAAACCUCCCAUAUUUCUUGUUAAUAAUCUCUUUUUAGAAUAAUGGUUCUGUCUAUCAAAAGACCAGUAAAAUACUUUUUUUUUUUUUCUCAGAAGUGUUUCAGAGAUUAUAAAACAUGUGUUUACAAAACAAAGGUGUUAAAUUUCAAGUAUUAAACAUUUUUAUAAUCCUGAAUUAAAUAUAUAUUAAUAAUAUAUAUUAAUAUAUAAUAUAAUAUAUAUAUUAAUAUAUAUUAAUAAUAUUAAUUAUAUUAAAUUUUCCUCCAAUGUAUAAAACAUCACAUAAUACAUGAUAAAAGAGAGAAAGCAGGAACCUCAAUUCUCCUUAACUUUACUUCAUUUCCAGUAGUGAAAUAUGCAAUAUUGAAGUCUUAGGAGUUUUUAGGAGAANNNNNNNNNNAAUAAUAAUAAUAAUAAUAAUAAUAAUAAUAAUAAUAAUAAUAAUAAUNNNNNNNNNNAAGAAGAAGAAGAAGAAGAAGAAGAAGAAGAAGAAGAAGAAGAAGAAGAAGGAACAAUCAUCCCACUUGGUGACACCAAGCUGUUUACAAACAUACCUCCUUUUUGAUGUGGAAGAACUUGCUCCUGUGUUCUAGGAACUUGCUCCUAUGUUUUAGAUUGUUAUAGGAAGUUGCAGUCCCAAAAGAAACAAGUUUAAAACCUUCGCAAUAAUUCUUAUUGUGCUUCUUAUUGUAAGAGUGUCUGAUUAGCCUUCACGAAGGUCCAUAAAUGAGCCAUGUACCUAAAAUAAAAAUGUAAUGUCUGUCUUUGUGGUGUCUUUG
rnacentral:lncRNA from 1 species